GGCCAGACUCCUACGGGAGGCAGCAGUGAGGAAUAUUGGUCAAUGGUCGGGAGACUGAACCAGCCAAGCCGCGUGAGGGAGGAAGGUACAGAGUAUCGUAAACCUCUUUUGUCAGGGAACAAAGACUGGGACGCGUCCCCGGAUGAGUGUACCUGAAGAAAAAGCAUCGGCUAACUCCGUGCCAGCAGCCGCGGUAAUACGGAGGAUGCGAGCGUUAUCCGGAUUUAUUGGGUUUAAAGGGUGCGCAGGCGGUCUGUUAAGUCAGCGGUCAAAGCCCGGGGCUCAACCCCGUCGUGCCGUUGAAACUGACGCCCUUGAGUGAGUGAGAAGUAAGCGGAAUGCGUGGUGUAGCGGUGAAAUGCAUAGAUAUCACGCAGAACGCCGAUUGCGAAGGCAGCAUACCGGCGCCCGACUGACGCUGAGGCACGAAAGCGUGGGUAUCGAACAGGAUUAGAUACCCCUGUA
rnacentral:rRNA from 1 species